rnacentral:rRNA from 1 species
UACAGAGGGUGCAAACGUUGUUCGGAAUUAUUGGGCGUAAAGCGCGCGUAGGCGGUUCGAUAAGUCGACUGUGAAAGCCCUUGGCUCAACCAAGGAAGUGCAGUCGAUACUGGCGAACUCGAGUGCAGCAGAGGAUGGCGGAAUGCCGAGUGUAGAGGUGAAAUUCGUAGAUAUUGGGUAGAACACCGGUGGCGAAGGCGGCCAUCUGGGAGGGUACUGACGCUGAGGCGCGAAAGCGUGGGUAGCAAACAGG